UUGUGUGUUACCAAUAAAUAUCUGCAAAGAAAAAUAAAUAAUAAGAAUGUAAUUUCUUACAUGAUAUUGAAUAAUUCGAAACAGGUGAGGUUAAACUGUAUACUACUACUACUUUAUUCAUUAUGCGAUGCUAGCGUCAUCGAACAUUGUUGGGAGAAACUUCUGAAAGCACGAGGUCACGUGACACCAUGCUACCCCUAGACUCCCCACUUGCAUCGCGUGAUACUUGUCGUGCUGUGAUAUAUGUUUUUAAAUAAUCACAUUUAAAGACGACAAGUGAUAAAGUAAAUUAUUUAUAAUUAUUUUAUCAUUAAACAUUAUAGAGUUAAGUAUAUGAUGUACAUCAUGUUAAACUUGAUCAAAAGUUUCAUCAAAUUUGUAUAUUACAUACGCAAUGACAAUCAAAAUCAAAUAUAAAUAAUAAUAAUUGAAAGUUAAUUAUUAAUACAGUCAAUAAUUAUUGUGUCGAUUUAUUAAUUACAAAUUUAAAAUGGUUACUUCAUUAGCGAAUCAAUUGAAAACGCUAAGAAUUUCACAAACUACACAAUUGGCGCAAACAAGAAAAUGUUUUAGUCUGUUAUUUCAUCCUAAAGUUGGAUAAAGGUAUAUUUCAUGAGAGUAUAGUUUCUAGCCAGAACGUUGGAGGAAAUUUAAGGAGAGACAUUACAAAAAUAUUUUUAAUUGUAAUUAAUUUAUCAUUGAUUUAAUACACCAUUCUUUUAAGACAAAUUCGUUGAAAUAAACUUUAUCGUGCUUAUAUAUAAAAAUUAUGUAUGAAAAUAAACAAAAAAGAGAUGUGUACAAAUGUAUGAUAUAUAUUAAGAAAAAAAUGAUAUGUACGAAUAUAUGAUUAUGUAUGAAGAAAAAAAGAAUUUGAAUAAAGCAUCUUUUAAUCUAUUA